UGGCUCACGUGCUCUGCUGCUCCCGGGGACCUGAGAGGAAAGACCCAGGCGGGGGCCGUGCCCAAGUGGAGGCCUCGCCGGGCAGGCUCCUGGAGGAGCCCUGGUAUCCCUUGAACAUGCAUACCUUUCCCAGAGAGAGGGACAUGGACCGCGCUGUGCGAGGGACCCCGUCUUCUGCAACAGGAGGGAACAGAGAGGAGAACUCAGGAAUGAGCUGCCUGCUAGGAACACACAUUCAUUCUGCUGUGCUCCACCUGCUCCAAGAUUGAAAGGAACCUGCCUCCAGCAGAGGGCAUUGGAGAGGGCCGGGGGACAUCUCUUUCUCAAAGCUGCCUGAUCAAGCCAAUGCAAUCUAAAGUCAAGUUCAUAAAGAGAGG